rnacentral:rRNA from 1 species
AACGUAGGUCACAAGCGUUGUCCGGAAUUACUGGGUGUAAAGGGAGCGCAGGCGGGAAGGCAAGUUGGAAGUGAAAUCCAUGGGCUCAACCCAUGAACUGCUUUCAAAACUGUUUUUCUUGAGUAGUGCAGAGGUAGGCGGAAUUCCCGGUGUAGCGGUGGAAUGCGUAGAUAUCGGGAGGAACACCAGUGGCGAAGGCGGCCUACUGGGCACCAACUGACGCUGAGGCUCGAAAGUGUGGGUAGCAAAC